GACGAACGCUGGCGUCGUGUUUAACACAUGCAAGUCGAACGGAAAGGCCCUGCUUUUGUGGGGUGCUCGAGUGGCGAACGGGGGAGUAACACGUGGGUAACCUGCCUUUGACUUUGGGAUAACUUCAGGAAACUGGGGUUAAUACCGGAUAGGAGCUCCUUCUGCAUGGUGGGGGUUGGAAAGUUUCGGCGGUUGGGGAUGGACUCGCGGCUUAUCAGCUUGUGGGUGGGGUAUUGGCUUACCAAGGCUUUGACGGGUAGCCGGCCUGAGAGGAUGACCGGCCGCAUUGGGACUGAGAUACAGCCCAGACUCCUACGGGAGGCAGCAGUGGGGAAUAUUGCACAAUGGGCGGAAGCCUGAUGCAGCAACGCCGCGUGCGGGAUGACGGCCUUCGGGUUGUAAACCGCUUUCGCCUGUGACGAAGCGUGAGUGACGGUAAUGGGUAAAGAAGCACCGGCUAACUACGUG
rnacentral:rRNA from 1 species